GUACUUGUACCGACUGGAUGAGCAGCGAACGGGUGAGUAACGCGUGGGGAAUCUGCCUUUGAGCGGGGGACAACAUUUGGAAACGAAUGCUAAUACCGCAUAAAAACUUUAAACACAAGUUUUAAGUUUGAAAGAUGCAAUUGCAUCACUCAAAGAUGAUCCCGCGUUGUAUUAGCUAGUUGGUGAGGUAAAGGCUCACCAAGGCGAUGAUACAUAGCCGACCUGAGAGGGUGAUCGGCCACAUUGGGACUGAGACACGGCCCAAACUCCUACGGGAGGCAGCAGUAGGGAAUCUUCGGCAAUGGACGAAAGUCUGACCGAGCAACGCCGCGUGAGUGAAGAAGGUUUUCGGAUCGUAAAACUCUGUUGGUAGAGAAGAACGUUGGUGAGAGUGGAAAGCUCAUCAAGUGACGGUAACUACCCAGAAAGGGACGGCUAACUACGUGCCAGCAGCCGCGGUAAUACGUAGGUCCCGAGCGUUGUCCGGAUUUAUUGGGCGUAAAGCGAGCGCAGGUGGUUUAUUAAGUCUGGUGUAAAAGGCAGUGGCUCAACCAUUGUAUGCAUUGGAAACUGGUAGACUUGAGUGCAGGAGAGGAGAGUGGAAUUCCAUGGUUUAGGGG
rnacentral:rRNA from 1 species